rnacentral:rRNA from 1 species
GUAGUCCGCACGGUAAACGAUGGAUGCCCGCUGUUUGCGAUAUAGUGUGAGCGGCCAAGCGAAAGCGUUAAGCAUCCCACCUGGGGAGUACGCCGGCAACGGUGAAACUCAAAGGAAUUGACGGGGGCCCGCACAAGCGGAGGAACAUGUGGUUUAAUUCGAUGAUACGCGAGGAACCUUACCCGGGCUUGAACUGCCAGCGAACGAUACAGAGAUGUUGAGGCCCUUCGGGGCGCUGGUGGAGGUGCUGCAUGGUUGUCGUCAGCUCGUGCCGUGAGGUGUCGGCUUAAGUGCCAUAACGAGCGCAACCCUUUUCAUUAGUUGCCAUCAGGUAAUGCUGGGCACUCUGGUGAUACUGCCACCGUAAGGUGUGAG